CGGGGAUAUAACGAUCGCUGCUAACGGCUUUAGAACAAGCGCAUAUCCCGGGAUGUACUCAGGAAAUAAGGACUGGGCAAUCUGACACCAACAGACGACAGCGGAUUAGAAGGGGCGGGCGCCACAGACACAGAAGACAAGCGCCCCACACGCAGCCUGAAAGCAAACAAAGCCGUGAACAAGGACAGUCGCAUUUAGUGACAUCACCUCACUAAAAAAGAAGUCAGAUUGGAUCCCCUUUGUAUCUACUUACACUGAUUACAGUAUGAAGAUUGGUAGGAUCGUAGCCUCACACUGGAAUAUUUUGAAAAACUCUUUUGAGACUGUACCUGAAUUCGCCAGUCCCCCUCUGUUAUCCUAUAGGAGAGCACCAAACAUUAAAGAUAAGUUGGUAAAAACUGAUGUCAGCAACUUUAAACAUGAUUUAGCAUCCGAGCUAAAACCCGGAUGUUUUCCAUGUAUGGAAUGUGAUAAUUGCACCAUGAUGGUAAAAGGAAAUGUUUUUAUUCACCCCACUACUGGACAGACGUUUAAAAUAAAAUAUCAUCUCACCUGUAGGAGUGAAUAUGUAAUUUAUGUACUUGUCUGUCCCUGUGCAAAAUUAUAUGUAGGGGAAACGACAACCCAAUGCAGGAUCAGGUUAAAUAACCACAAAUCCACCAUUAGGACAUGGAAGAUAGAUCUCCCUGUACCACGCCAUUUCUUAGAAUGUAAUCAUAGGGUCGACCAAUUAAAAUUUACUAUUAUCGAUCAUGUACCAGUCUUGAAGAGAGGGGGUGAUAGGGCAAAAAUAUUGAAACAGAAAGAGUUAAGAUGGAUAUUUAAACUGAAUACAUUGAGACCAAGUGGUUUGAAUAUUGACUUCUCACUAAAACCAUUUUUUUGAGCCCCCGAAGUAAAAUUGUGUAUGUUGGUGGCUAUACUCCACAUGUAUAGUGAUAUGUCUUUUGUGUAUUAUUUGUAUUAUUUAUAUGAUUUUAAUCUAUUUUAUGACACCUUCUUCUGUUCUCUGCCCUUAGAUAUCCUCUGGAAGUUCCUUCCAACUGCCCCUAUCCGACGUCAUAAGGAAUGUUGUUUUCAAGCUUUCAAGUCUACAUGAUCAAUGUCAUUUUUCCUGCUUCGGACCCUAUAUUGUUGUUUUUCAUUGUUAAUAAAGAGCCUUUUCUGCUUUAACUAUAUAGUUACCAUUUAAUUUUUAGAGAUGGCGUGGAAUGAGUCAGGGGGUACACAUAAUCUCAGCAAUUGGGGUUGUGAGGAUGUGAAUCACGAGAGGGUGACACCUCCGUGAACACAUCCAACACACCCCUAUGUUAGGGAUGAUGAUGUGGGACAUGGAGGAUUAUGUAUCCCCCAUGUACACAUGAACUUCUCCAUUUAAUUGGGUGACAUAUAUCUAUGGUUAACACUUUUGAUAGAGGUCCCCUUAUAUAUAUUGAGUCUAUGGUUCCCUCCUGAACAUUACUAACCUGUUUAUAUUUCCCCAGUUGGGUUGAGCAGAAGUCUCUUUAUUAUUAAUUUUUUGAGUAUCCUCCUUUUUGGGAUAUGUAAUUACUUUAAACACUGGGUCCUGUAGUCAGGUUUAUAUUUUCAAUUUAUUUCAAUUUAUAUCCAUUUGACAUAUCAUGUGACCGCUGGAGUAAGCGGUCAUGUGGUUGCGAUCAUGUGACUUACCUGCUAUGCGGUCAUGUGAUUGUGAUCAUGUGACUUGUCUGCUGUUUAUGCGGGCGCAUAGCGGCGGCCCGUCGCGAACGCGAGUGGCCAUCCGCUUCUGCGCAGAGUGUUUGUGUACAAACACAGGCCGCAUGCUUCCGGUAAUGACGUUCCGGAUAUGGUGGUAAGUGAAGGUGACCGGACAGUGGGAUAUCGGAGGUCAGAACUCUUAUUAUACACAUUUAUAUGGGUGGAUUUUCGCUACAUUCAUUAGGUACAUGAUUGUAUUAACACUAGAUCUGAUGGAUUAUGUAUUAUGUCAUGUUGAUUAUGCACUAUAUCAUUAAUUAGUUUGUGUUUACAUGGGUGGCCACACCCCCUGAAGCAUAUGAUGUCAUCAUGUGAUACCAUAUAAAUACUGUUUUGUCACACUUGAUUACUAUGCUUGAUAAAGAUCCGGAUUGUGGAUCGAAACGUUGCAUCUUACUGAUGGGUGAAUAAAUCAUUUUC